UACGGAGGGAGCUAGCGUUAUUCGGAAUUACUGGGCGUAAAGCGCACGUAGGCGGCUUUGUAAGUUAGAGGUGAAAGCCUGGAGCUCAACUCCAGAACUGCCUUUAAGACUGCAUCGCUUGAAUCCAGGAGAGGUGAGUGGAAUUCCGAGUGUAGAGGUGAAAUUCGUAGAUAUUAGGAAGAACACCAGUGGCGAAGGCGGCUCACUGGUCCGGUACUGACGCUGAGGUGCGAAAGCGUGGGGAGCAACAGG
rnacentral:rRNA from 1 species